ensembl:lncRNA
GUCUCCUCCUUGAAAACAUCUGAAGUUCUUCAAAGGCAGAAACUCAAACAGGAAGUGCCCGUGCUAAGGUCUAUUCAAUGCUGGUCUGACCAAUUGGAAUCCAUACUUCAAGAUUGUUUUGAUCACACGGACUGGGAUAUGUUCCAGGUAGUCUCUGAGAAUAACAUCGAUGACUGAGUUCAUCAGGAAGUGUAUAGGAGAUGGUGUUCCCACUGUGACUAUUAAAACCUACCAAAACCAGAAACCGUGGAUAGAUGGCAGCAUUCGUGCAAAACUGAAAGUGUGAACCAUCGCAUUUAACCAUGGCAAGGUGACUGGGAAUAUGGCCGAACACAAACAGUGUAGUUAUUCCCUCCGUAAGGCAAUCGAACAGGCAAAACAUCAGUACAGAGACAAAGUGGAGUCGCAAUUCAAUGGUUCAAACACAAGACGUAUGUGGCAGGAUCUACAGACAAUCACAGACUACAAAGGGAAAACCACAGACAUCUAACUUCCAAACAAGCUAAACACCUUCUUCGCCCGCUUUGAGGAUAACAGUGCCACCGACACAGCCCGCUAUCAAGGACUGUGGGCUCUCGUUCUCCGUGGCCGAGAUCCACAGACGAUGCAAUCGCCAUCACACUGCACACUGCCCUAUCCCAUCUGGACAAGAGGAAUACCUAUGUAAGAAUGCUGCC